UAUUUAGGACAAUUGGGCAGUACUGGAAGGCAAAAGAGAUAAGGGCCAAGAGUGGUCAGUGGUUAGCAUGCUCGACUAUGGAUUUGUGGAUCCAUCAUUCGCACAACGUUUAGUCAAUAAAAGAAAAUACAAAAAAAAAAAAAAUAUAAUCGUUCUCCGCACUUUGAGUUUGAGGCCGUGGAUAUAUAUUAUAAGGUACAUUUUGUAACAUCUAUUUGCACUGACAAACAUACAGCGAGGGAACUCAACAAUUACAAGGAGGAGAGCUGGUGCUAUACUUCUCUAGCGUUUUGAAAUCUGGUGGAAGAAUAAAAUAAAAACAGUAUUAAGGAGCCUGUGGACGUAUGAAAUUGGAUUUGGAGUAGAAGGUUUCGUUCAUAUUACUUUCCAAGAUAGUCCUUGUAGAUCACUGA